rnacentral:lncRNA from 1 species
UUUUCUAUAUUUCUUGUCAUCAGACAACUUAACCGAGGCCCUGCUCUUCGUGUCCCAUUUCAUGGGUGAUAUUCAUCAGGUAUAAUUACAAGUUUGAUCAAGAUGACCGGUUUCUUAGCCAGAUAUGUCUAAUACCAUAGUUGUAAAAUGCAGCCUCUACAUGUGGGUUUUGCUUCAGACAAAGGAGGGAACACCAUCGAAGUGCACUGGUACAGGAGAAAAGCUAACCUCCACCAUGUAAGAACUGUCAAACGUAUAUAAUUUGCGCAUUAGAUAUUACAAGCCUCAAAAAUUAAGUUUAAUGCAGAUAUGGGAUUCCAACAUUAUCGAAACAGCUGAAGCAGAUCUCUAUAACUCCGAACUAGAAGGAAUAGUGGAUGCAAUCAAUAAGAACAUAACGGUACUCUUGAAUCGAAAAGACUGUUCUCUACCUGUUUACUACAAGGUGUUUUUGACUUGCUGACAUAUUUUAAUAAAUUGCAGACAGAAUGGGCAGAUCAAGUCAAGAGAUGGGAGAGUUGCACAAAGAAGACAGCAUGCCCAGAUAUGUAAGUCAGAUACAAAAUUACAGUACCUUUGAGUAGAAGUGAUUGUUCUUCAUGCCGGCACGAACCAGAUUUAACUUCCAAUGCUUUCCCCUGUAAACUAUACAGAUACGCAUCCGAAGGAAUUCAAGCAGCCUGUGAC